AUUGAACGCUGGCGGCAUGCCUUACACAUGCAAGUCGAACGGUAACAGGUCUUCGGAUGCUGACGAGUGGCGAACGGGUGAGUAAUACAUCGGAACGUGCCCGAUCGUGGGGGAUAACGGAGCGAAAGCUUUGCUAAUACCGCAUACGAUCUACGGAUGAAAGCAGGGGACCGCAAGGCCUUGCGCGGACGGAGCGGCCGAUGGCAGAUUAGGUAGUUGGUGGGCUAAAAGCCUACCAAGCCGACGAUCUGUAGCUGGUCUGAGAGGACGACCAGCCAAACUGGUACUGAGACACGGCCCUGACUCCUACGGGAGGCAGCAGUGGGGAAUUUUGGACAAUGGGCGAAAGCCUGAUCCAGCCAUGCCGCGUGCAGGAUGAAGGCCUUCGGGUUGUAAACUGCUUUUGUACGGAACGAAAAGCCUCUUUCUAAUAAAGAGAGGUCAUGACGGUACCGUAAGAAUAAGCACCGGCUAACUACGUGCCAGCCGCCGCGGUAACAC
rnacentral:rRNA from 1 species